UCAGUGGCAUCUGUUGUUCUUAUAUCUUGGCUUGUCUUUGAAUCCGUUUGUGACUCCUCUGGAUCUUUUGGUUGCUGUGGUGUCUUUCUUUCAGGCAUUGGGUCAGAAAGAUUGGCAUCGGUACAAGGAUUUCCACUGGACUGUGCAUCACUGGAGUGGAAGCUUGACUCGAGGGACAGAGAAUCUUCAGAGGAAGAGCCUUCUGGAAGCUGACUGGACUCUGCAUCGUCAACUGAGAGGGAAGUUGAGCCUUCUUGCAGCACAUCCCUUGAGGAAGUGCUGUCAAAUGAUUCCUCUAAAUUUCUUGCCACAACCUCAGAAGUAAGGCUGGGGUCAGGGGUGAAAAUGGGAGAACGGUCCAGAUAUAAAGUAAAAUCAUCCUCGAAGAGGGAACCAUCAGAAAGCGGUCGGAUCAUCACAUUGUAGUACUUUGAGGUAGAGGCUGGCAGUGAUUCCUCUGAGGGAAGUGUUUGUACAUUGUCAUCUAGAUUUGAGUCUAAUAUAGUGCUCAGAUGAUCCAAACUGGGCGACUGAGCUUUUUGGUCUGUUGCCUCGUCGUUUGAAGUUGCCUGAGACGUUUCUUCCGUUUCAGAAGAUACCACGCUGGAGUCGACUGAAGGAGAAUUUAACAACUGAUCUAAGCUGUCCUCCAGAGGCUGCAGAUAAAAUAAGAUGACUUGAUUUACAAUCUAGAAAAGGUCGAUGGAAUCUCACUUCUAUGCCAGUUUAUAAGUUCUGGCUUCAGUGUCGGCGUUUUCUGAGGCAGAAUACAGUGGAGUCUGCAGAUUCAAAGAGAAAAAAAAAAAUAUAGAUUUUUUUUAAAAAGGUAAAUCAGACUUAUUUUAAUUCUCAGAAAGAUACUGCAGGUAUUGUUCAAAGUUCUGGAUAUCGGUGUUCUUUAGGAUAAACUCUUGAUCUUUUGCACACAUUUCCACACCUCUUGUCAUUUACCUCUUGCUCUUGUUUUUCUGGUGCAUCAAGGAGAGCAAAAUCAGGGUCUGAAGACAGAAAGGAGUCCAGGAUCGUCAAAUCAAAUGAUCUGGUGUGCAGGGAGGAUGGAUGGACAUCAUGUUUGGACAGGAGCAGCUGCUUGUACAACCAUCGGGAAAGACACCAAGAGGAGGAGGAAAACACAGCCCGCCAGGGACCAAAACAUGUGGGCUAAACCCAAAUCCAGGGUUUGGUGUGGAAAUAAUGGGGGCCGUAUUCAACCAGGAGGUGUAGUGAGGGGCAGAGGGGGUCAGUAGGGGCUCUGGUAACGCCGGUGUCUGGUGGUGGACCAGAGCAAGCCCACAGUGUCCUAACAGCAGUGUGUUUGGCAUGGGAAAGCUUGGGAUCAGAUGAAGCCCAGGUAAAAGGUUUGAGAUGCUUUCUGUUAUAAAUAAUAUGUCUGAUCUGGGGAUGGAGUCAUACAUAAUACAGAGCAUUUCUUCAGCCGUGAAAGUUGGCUCAUCUAAUGUAGGAAGAGGUUCUGAUGGAGAGAGCGGUCCUGCUCUGCUGAUGUUUUCAAUGCCUGUCUUUGAGGUUAAUUCAGACGGUUUGGGGAUGUUUGGUUCAUCUUUUGAAGCAAAUCCCUCAGCAGGAAACUCCUGGUGUGAGGAGACUUUUGAAGGAGUAGGAAUAAAGUCUCCUCUGUCACUGAGAAUUACUUCGGGGAGGGUAAACAACAUUGGAUCCAUCUUUAGCUCUGUCUUUUAAGCUGCAAGUAAAAAGUGAGAACAUUGCUGUGGCAAAAACAACCAAAUAAACAACUUCUGCUGACUUUAAGCUUUAACAAGAGCAACAAAUAACUACACUGUUAAUGGGUCAAUUAAAAAAAACGGAUCCUACCUUUUUGUUGUUGGCUGAUACCAUCAGUCUGUAACUAAAAAGAAAAACUUUAAAUGGGUUGAUUUGAUUUAAAUGUUGUGCAGGAAAAAAAAAACAUUCCAAACCACCUCAGAUUAUUUUUUCAAAGAUUUAUUUAAAAGUUGUGAUUAAUUUUAAAGUGCUGUGCUAAGGUAUUUCUUAAAAAUAUAUUAAUUAUUAAUGAGGUUUUGCCCUUAAAAAAAAAAAAAAAAAAUAAUCUCCCUCUAGAUGGCGUUUUAUCUCAGUGGGAUCCAGACCAAACAUUAGGCAUAGAGAGCUAAAAUACUUCUAUAAAGUGGGUUUUUUUCGUUUGGACGGCUAUCUUCACGUUUUUUUUAACUACAACGUUUUUAAUCAAACAAAUGUUCUACUGUGGCGUUUAAAACUCUUUUUGACGACUCUGGGAAGUUUCAACAGGCGUAAUACGUUCAAAACUCAAUUACCCAGAGUGCUUUGCGUCUCAAAUAUCCGGAUAUCCUCCGCGCUAACGCUGAGAACUUCACCGCACGUGGAACUAGAGGAGAAAGUGCUUGUUAGCUGCAGAUUUUGAGAUCUUUUCGAAAUAAAACCACGUCUUGAGCAUACAUUAAAGCUCAUAAAGAAGCUAUACCCAA